rnacentral:rRNA from 1 species
GAUGAACGCUGGCGGCGUGCCUAAUACAUGCAAGUCGAGCGAACAGACGAGGAGCUUGCUCCUCUGACGUUAGCGGCGGACGGGUGAGUAACACGUGGAUAACCUACCUAUAGACUGGGAUAACUUCGGGAAACCGGAGCUAAUACCGGAUAAUAUAUUGAACCGCAUGGUUCAAUAGUGAAAGACGGUUUUGCUGUCCCUUAUUGAUGGAUCCGCGCCGCAUUAGCUAGUUGGUAAGGUAACGGCUUACCAAGGCAACGAUGCGUAGCCGACCUGAGAGGGUGAUCGGCCACACUGGAACUGAGACACGGUCCAGACUCCUACGGGAGGCAGCAGUAGGGAAUCUUCCGCAAUGGGCGAAAGCCUGACGGAGCAACGCCGCGUGAGUGAUGAAGGUCUUCGGAUCGUAAAACUCUGUUAUUAGGGAAGAACAAAUGUGUAAGUAACUAUGCACGUCUUGACGGUACCUAAUCAGAAAGCCACGGCUAACUACGUG